rnacentral:misc_RNA from 1 species
AAGUCGUAACAAGGUUUCCGUAGGUGAACCUGCGGAAGGAUCAUUAUUGAAUAAACUUGGUUGGGUUGCUGCUGGCUCUUAGGAGCAUGUGCACACUCACUCCAUUUUAACCACCUGUGCACAUACUGUAGGCCUGAAUGAAACUGUUCGAGGAAACUCGGUUUGAGGACUGUUGUGAAAAUCAGCUGUUCUUGCAUUCCAGGUCUAUGUUUUUAACAUAUACUCCAUAACAAGUUAUAGAAUGUUAAUCAUGGGCCUUCUGUGCCUUUAAAUUAUAAUACAACUUUCAACAACGGAUCU